CCUUAUCGGGUUACCGAAUUCAGACAAACUCCGAAUGCCAAAUAAUUUAACUUGGGAGUCAGACUAUGGGUGAUAAGGUCCGUAGUCGAAAGGGAAACAGCCCAGACCACCAGCUAAGGUCCCAAAAUAUAUGUUAAGUGGAAAAGGAUGUGGCGUUGCCCAGACAACUAGGAUGUUGGCUUAGAAGCAGCCAUCAUUUAAAGAGUGCGUAAUAGCUCACUAGUCGAGUGACACUGCGCCGAAAAUGUACCGGGGCUAAACAUAUUACCGAAGCUGUGGAUUGUCCGUAAGGACAAUGGUAGGAGAGCGUUCUAAGGGCGUUGAAGCAUGAUCGCAAGGACAUGUGGAGCGCUUAGAAGUGAGAAUGCCGGUGUGAGUAGCGAAAGAUGGGUGAGAAUCCCAUCCACCGAUUGACUAAGGUUUCCAGAGGAAGGCUCGUCCGCUCUGGGUUAGUCGGGUCCUAAGCUGAGGCCGAUAGGCGUAGGCGAUGGAUAACAGGUUGAUAUUCCUGUACCACCAUUAUUCGUUUUAAGCGAUGGGGGGACGCAGUAGGAUAGGCGAAGCGUGCUGUUGGAGUGCACGUCCAAGCAAUAAGACUGAGUGUUAGGCAAAUCCGGCACUCUUAAGAUUGAACUGUGAUGGGGAGAGGAAAUUGUUUCCUCGAGUCGUUGAUUUCACACUGCCAAGAAAAGCCUCUAGUUAGAAAAUAGGUGCCCGUACCGCAAACCGACACAGGUAGUCAAGAUGAGAAUUCUAAGGUGAGCGAGCGAACUCUCGUUAAGGAACUCGGCAAAAUGACCCCGUAACUUCGGGAGAAGGGGUGCUCUUUAGGGUUAACGCCCAGGAGAGCCGCAGUGAAUAGGCCCAAGCGACUGUUUAUCAAAAACACAGGUCUCUGCUAAACCGUAAGGUGAUGUAUAGGGGCUGACGCCUGCCCGGUGCUGGAAGGUUAAGAGGAGUGGUUAGCUUCUGCGAAGCUACGAAUCGAAGCCCCAGUAAACGGCGGCCGUAACUAUAACGGUCCUAAGGUAGCGAAAUUCCUUGUCGGGUAAGUUCCGACCCGCACGAAAGGCGUAACGAUUUGGGCACUGUCUCAACGAGAGACUCGGUGAAAUCAUAGUACCUGUGAAGAUGCAGGUUACCCGCGACAGGACGGAAAGACCCCGUGGAGCUUUACUGUAGUCUGAUAUUGAAAUUCGGCACAGCUUGUACAGGAUAGGUAGGAGCCUGAGAUACGUGAGCGCUAGCUUACGUGGAGGCGCUGGUGGGAUACUACCCUGGCUGUGUUGACUUUCUAACCCGCACCAUUUGAUCAUGGUGGGAGACAGUGUCAGGCGGGCAGUUUGACUGGGGCGGUCGCCUCCUAAAGAGUAACGGAGGCGCUCAAAGGUUUCCUCAGAAUGGUUGGAAAUCAUUCGCAGAGUGUAAAGGCACAAGGGAGCUUGACUGCGAGACCUACAAGUCGAGCAGGGUCGAAAG
rnacentral:rRNA from 1 species